AAAAUUUAUUUCAAUAAUUGUUAUUCACAUUAACAUUUUUCACUUAAUCAUUUUCACACCACUAUGGCUCAUGCGUCCGUUUAUUCCUCCACUUUCAGUCUGUUACUGCGCCAAUCUUUUCCGAUUCAAUAUUAAGGGUUGCUAUGCCCAUAAGGUGUGACCUCUUUUGUCUUUCACAUACUAAUCUGUUUGACCUGUCAGAAUGUCAAAUUGAAGAGUUGAAAGGGAAACACUUGUUAUAACAUGUAAUAUUUUACAUUACACGCCCAUCAAAGUGUUAUUACACAGAUAAAGUUAAUUAACAUUAAAUUUAAAGCGAAAUAAAGGAGGAAUGAAGCGAUGGAAACUUCUUCCCGAAGCCGAAAUGAGUGAAGAAAUUAUUAGUAUAUCACUUUCCUUUAACUAAAUAAUGGACAGAAGGUAAAAUAAUUAAUGCUUAUGACAACUGAAAACAUUUUGAAAGCAGAUAAAUAAAUAAUUUGGUGAGAGCGCUUAGUUUAAGUAUUCGUUUUUAAUUUUCAACUUUAUUUCUAUUCUAAGUGCAUUCCAAUCAAGGAGUAUUAUAAAAGAUUCUUUGCGCAACAAUGUGCUUGCGAAAAAAUGUGCUUUCUUCAGACAAGAGCUCAAUAAAAAUUUUAAAUCGUAAGACGACGUCAUCUGGACCAGGCUACAUAAUAACUUUAAAACGGUAGGCGUAAUAAAGACUUUCAGACUUCUAAAAGUAGAGUUAGAAAAUAUAUCAAAAGACUUCAGAUAACACAGAUAGGAGUUGGCAGAGCUGCUUGGUGUAGCAUCAGAUUGUUGAAAAAAAUUAGCAAUUGAAAUUGCAUUUUACAAAACACUUAAAAUCUAUGAACAUGAAAAACGUUACAGCUCUACGCUUUGAAUCAACUAAUUUCAAGGCGUACAGACGGUCAGAAUCAUUUUGUAAUGAGUUUCAUAAUGCAGGCCUUAUAACACGUUUUACUUAAAACAUUGAACUCAAAAGUUAUUUUCUUUAUUGCGAACUGUUCUUCAGUCAACAAUAACAGUAGUAAUUCCCUGAUGCCAAGUCUAAAAACUCUGCCACUAUAUAAGCUUCUGGGAAACGGGACGGAAAGUUACAUUAGCAGAACACAAAUGCGGCUGAUGUUAUUUGAACAGAAUGCUCCAAAUUUGUUUCGGCUCUUAUCCAAUUCUGAAUUGCGACGCUAAAUAAUGAAAUGUACUCAACCUAUCACACAAGCAAAGUCAUCAAUAGGUUUUUAUUGAGGGAAAACGAAUUGUACCUAUUAAUUGAUUGUGAAUCCAUAAAACGGCCCAAAAGUCAUCUCGGAAUGCCGGAGCAAGCAGAUGCAGAACACAUGGUUUUCCACUGUCGGUGCGUGCUUGCUAUGACAAUUUCCUGACGAGAGAUUCGAGUAGAUUAUGGCUAAAGCGCCGGUUGCAAAUAUAACCAAGCGACAGAACAGGGAAAUAGAACAAAUCGGCUUUUAAUGCCGCUCCCAUUGCGGUAAUGGAAAGAAAAGAACAAUGCAUGAUAGUAAGGGGAGAGAUUGAAUGUAAUGAACUAAAUUAUUAUUGAAUGUACGCGCAUCGUAUAAGGGCGGAUCGAGCGGCAAAGUAUGCUGCUUCUGCUCCUCU